ACAGAUCUCCACCAUAUGAAGCAAAAUAACCACAUAGUUGCUCCUAUGACAGUUCUUGAGUUUAAGGUUCUACCUUCGUCCUACAUUUAAGUCUGAUCUUCCAACUUUUCUUUCCCGUAUCAAAAUUUUUGUAUUCAGUCAAUCACUCACUCACUGACAACACCAAAAACAAUAGUCGCAUCAGUGAAAUAUAUGGUUCAGGGUAAUUCCGAGGAAAGAUCAAUCUUAAUGUUGUAUGUUGGAGGAAGAUCAUAGUAGAAGUCCCUUCCUGAAAGACUCUAGAGACAGAUUUACUGACUAUCUUUUCAUUAGAAAGAGACUAUUCAAAAUAAUUAGGAAUCUUAGCAUAUACAUACUGCCAUGUUUUUUUUACCUGAAAGGGUCUAAACAAUUAUUAGUUGUAGUGUCUGAAACAUCUAACUGAUCACUUGGAAAAGAAAGGAGAGGAACAGAAAGGACAAAGAGGUUUCACCUCACCCCUCAAAAAGAAAUUCUUACUCCAAAAGAAGAAAAGAGUAUUCUUCCAGUCAGCAUCCAAGUGGGUGGAUACAGUGGUCAAUGAAGGAGACGAACAUCAUGGUAAAAUUAAGAUUCAAAUCCCAACAGGGAGAAAACACGUUAGAGGGAGGUGGUAGGUACCUAGUAGAUAGUUCAAGUGCUAGCGAGCUUACUCUAACACCACCAUCAUAAGAUUAAAAAGGAUCGGUCUUCCAGUCAACUAGUGAUUAAAGGCUCAAGCAAAAAUUAGUUAACGCCUUUACAGGCUAUAAAUAAAGAUAUAUUUGGUUUUGAUUCUUUUACCUGAUAUAAUCAUAUCAAAACUUCUAGUAACAUAACUUUUUUUUUUUUUAACAUAACUACAAUUUCAAUAAAGAAUAAAUAAAUUCAAAUGAACUAUUCAUUAAUUCUUACCCAAACCAAAAUUAGAAAGUAGAAACAGUUAUAGGAUCCAAACCAAGAGGCCUUAAUUAAAUGCCCUGAAAAAGUUGUUGAAGUACUUUAAUGAAGCCAUUUAAACUGGAAGUAGAAUCUUUUAGAAAGU
rnacentral:lncRNA from 1 species